AGAGCCCGAAAUUCUACGCCUGAGGGAAAGACAGAACCGCAAGAACAGCAACGGUAGUCACAAAGGCUCUCACUCUACGCAAUCACCGUCUGCGAGCGUUGACAAGUUUACUGUCGAGCUGCACAUCAUUUCCGAUAAAGCGCACCACCAAUAUUUCAAGAAAAAUCAGGAAUUGAUUGCAUACUUGGCAAUCAUGGCUAAUGCGGUAAACUUAAGGUACAUGGACAUGGAAAAACCUAAAAUCAGCUUCCUUCUUGUCGGAGUGACAAUGGCUAAGG
rnacentral:lncRNA from 1 species